CCCAACAAAUGGAUUCUGAUUUGGGCCCAAAGACUAGGGCAGAUUUGAUCUGGACAUCCAAACCUGGCAGUGCUGCACGACUUUAGUGCUGAUCGCUUCUGCCACGCCGUCGUCCCUUGUUGCUAUUUUGCCUCACUGCCUCCGACCCAACUACGCCCUAAGUAGCCUAGCAUCCAGCCGCUGCCGUUAGUGAUGGUUGUUUUCUUUCGAUUCUGUAGGUUGUAUGCAGAAGAGUGCCCGGAUUGUUCUUUCUUUGAAUCCAGUGAUGAUCGCUUCUUUUUCCCUCUCUCCAAUUCUCUAUUAAUUUCAAUCUAUUACAGCACAGUGUUGAGUUUCAUUGUCAUUUUGAUAUUAGGGUUUAGUCUAAGUCAUGUAAGCAUUAGGGUUUUUAGUUUCACAUGUUUUACACAAGUUACAAGUACUGAAUUUUUGUAAAUGUCAAAUGUGAUGGUGCUACUAAUUGAGCAUGGAGUGAUUCAGUAUGAAUGUGACUAUUGUGUUUUGCUACCGUGUUCAUUAAGAUCUGUCGGUUCCGACUUCGAGCUAUAAUAACGUAUAUUACGUAUUGGUGUUUUAUUUUACACUAUUGAUAAAAAGAUAUAGAUGCAGCAAUUGAUCAUAAAUGAAAUUAUUAAACACAAUUCAUAUAUGAUAUACCGUGUUCUUUUAGUCAAAUAACUUUUGAAAGUAUCCCAAUACUUUCCAGGAUGGUCUUGCUUUGUUUUUUUCAUUGUUGUUGUUAGAAGUAGCUGGAGUUCUAAUUUGACAAAAACUUAUUGAGAUAUUAUUCAGUUUUGAUUUGGGGAGCAAGGGAACAAUAAUUAUCAAAGCUGUAGAAGCUAAUCAGAUUUAGCUACUUAGAUAAUCAGAAACAUAUAGCAAAAACUUUAUGUUUUUUACAAUUGGUCCUCAUAAGUUGUAACAAGAUACAUGGUAUAGCUAUGCAUGAAUUUCAGGAAUAGGAACUUAAUCAUUGGCUAUUGUGAAAAUAUCAUACUUGGUGAUGAAUGUUUGUCCAUGUACAUGUGUGUGUGUGUGUGUGUACACCUUGUGUGAAGCGUACGUGUAUAUAUAGCAGACAUCCCAAUUAGAAAACAAGUGUCACAUUAGAGCCAUGGAUUAAAAUCUUUCAUUGGAUCGAUGCUUGAAUUUCAUUUGAUAGAAGAUUUGAAAGGCACAGCAAAAAAAAAAAAAAAAGUCACAAAUGAGUUGCAUAAUUAAAGAGCAAAAAUACCUUGGGGCCAACUAAAUGUAGUAUAGUAGACAGUUUUUGCAGCUGCUAUCAGACUAAUGAGUUGUCGCAGCUUUUGGAGCUUCAAUGUGAUCAAUUGAGGAAAGUUCCUGUUAUAAUUUUUUUUUUUUUUUUUUUUUUUGCUGAUUGCCACGACCCUUGAUAGAUCUUUAAGAUUCAAGACAAUCAAAUUAGGGAAGUUGACCAAGAUGUUUCUGAUUUGAGAUCUAGGUGAUUAAUGAUUACGAAUCCAAUUUUUGAGAUCUAGAUGUUUCUAGCUGAUCAAGGUUUGGCUUUGAUUUUGCUUUCUGUUUCUAUUGCUUUUGAACAGAUUGGGGUUUUUGAUUUGUUAGGGGUUUUGUUGAUGCUGGAUACCAACAGAGUUGAUCAUCUUUAAAUUGACUAUACCUAUUCAAAUCCUCAGCUCUAUUUCAAAAGUGCAAAUUGCUUAGCAGCAACAGAGAAGCAAAAAAUCACUUUAUCUGCUGUCUGCCAAAGCUAAGUAAAGUUUCAGGUCAGUCAGUAUGUUCUUAAAGGAAGCAGCUUAUUUGUUUUUUGAAUGAAUUGGGAUUCAGUUGGUGUAUUGAUCAAGUGGUGUCUACUUUUGUUUGAUGCUUGGAGUCGAACGAAUUGAGAGGGUAUUUCCAACUGGUACUUCCUUGAGUGUUUUCGGCAAGGGGUACCAUCUUCAUUGCAGAUAUACGUGUUUUCAGCACCCAAACUAUUAUCUCUGGGUAUCUGAGAGCAGUUGCUUGACUUAGAAAGGAUUUGGAAGCUUAAAUUGCCUUGGGUCAUAUGUUGGGCAUUUCGGAUUAAUUUGGGUUUGUAGGGUCUGGAACAAGCACUAUCUUUAAGCAGGGGAUCAAGUAGUCAGGAGUAGUUGAAGCCCCUGGACUAUGUUACAGAAACAUACCUGCUGUUGUUACAACUGCAGUUGGCCAAAUCGUAAGAAAAUGAUAUAGCAAUUGAUUGUCAAUGUCUACUAAUUUUUUUCCUUGCUUUGUUUUGUUUAUAUAUUGCAAAUUACUCUUUUCAAUGCUAUUGGUGAUAAAUAAUGUUACCUCUGAUUAUUUUUGUGUCCUAUGUAUGAUUAUAUAGACGGAUACCCAUCCGAAUUGUGGGAAGGCACUACUGGAAAUGCUAUUACGUAUUUAUGUACCCCUGCCGUCAUAUAUUCCAAAAGAUUGGGACUAUGUUCAAAAGCCGUGAUUGGUCCAGCUGCAUUCUGUUUGCUGUGUUUUUGAACAUUUGGUAAAAAUUGUUGAAUCAGAAUAGAAAUGUAAUACAUUUUUGUUCAGACAUUGGUUACAGUAGCAAUUUUUUGAAAAAUGUAAAUAGACAAGCAUGGA